rnacentral:rRNA from 1 species
GACGAACGCUGGCGGCGUGCUUAACACAUGCAAGUCGAACGGAAAGACCCUGCGUUUGUGGGGUGCUCGAUUGGCGAACGGGGGAGUGACACGUGAGUAACCUGCACUUGACUUUGGGAUAACUUCAGGAAACUGGGGCGAAUACCGGAUAGGAGAUCCUGCUGCAUGGGGGGGGUUGGAAAGUGUCGGCGGUUGUGGAUGGAAUCGCGGCUUAUGAGCUUGAUGGUGGAGUAGUGGCUUACCAAGGCUUUGACGGGUAGCCGGCCUGGGAGGGUGACCGGCCACAUUGGCACUGGGGUACGGCCCAGAGUCAUUCGGGCGGAAUCGGUGGGGACUUUUGCACACUGGGCGGCGGCAGUAUGGAGCAACUUCGGGUCGGGAAUCACUGCUUUCGGGUUGUAACACGUUUUUGACUGUCACUACGCGUCUGUACCGUUACUGGUCAAGAAGCCCCGGCUAACUACGUG